GACAUCUGGAUCAUAUACUGCAAGCACCUCAGUCAAGUUGUCGGUAGAUUCAGUCUACUACUGAACUUCAAAGUCAUGGGAAUCUUUCAGCUAUUAAGACUCGUUUUUGUGGUAUUUAUUACCUGCCAAUUCGGCGCCCACGGCAAGGCAAAGGUUCGAUACGAUGGUUAUCAGGUCAUUAGGAUGAUACCAAACAGUCUAGAUGAGCUUGAAUGGCUGAUCAAUUACAUAGAGAGCAGGAAUGAGAUCGAUGUCUGGAAAGAACCAAGCAAGGUUGGUCAUCCUGUGGACAUCAUGAUACCUCCUAGAACUACGGACUCGGAGGAUCUUGUAUCCCUGGCAACAGAUACAGGAAUUUCUACAACUGUCAUGAUCCAGGAUGUUCAAAAGUUGAUUGAUAACGAAAUAUCCUCUCGGAGUCUACCUCAACGGUCGAUGAGUACUGGAUUCGACUACACUACCUACCACACAUAUGAUGAGAUCGAGAAAUGGAUUGAUGAUAUUGCCAACCAAUACAGUGAUUUAGUUAGUGUUGAUGAGGUCAGCUCAACAUAUGAAGGCAAGAUUAUCAGGGGCAUCAAGAUCGGAUCACCGUCGGGCAAUCUUAAACCUAUGGCUUAUAUACAGGGAGGAAUACACGCUCGCGAGUGGAUCAGCCCAGCAACUGUUAUGUUCAUGACUUACAAGCUUCUGGAUGCAUAUCAGAAGAUGGAUCCGUUGGUUACCGAGAUGUUCAACAAAAUAGACUGGUACAUUGUUCCCGUACUCAACGCAGAUGGAUACAUCUAUACAUGGAUAAAUGACCGUAACUGGCGUAAGAACAGACGAAGGGCACCUGGCGAUGCUUGUGUUGGAAUCGAUCUCAAUAGAAACUACGCUUACGAAUGGGGAGGCAAAGGAGCUAGUCGCUCCUCGUGUGCCCUCACGUAUCGUGGCCCUGGACCAGCCUCGGAGAUCGAAGUAAUCGGAAUUACAGAUUUCCUGAAGAAGAGGAACGAGAUGACUGAUAUCAAUCUAUAUAUCGAUGUCCACAGCUAUGGUAUGUUUUGGCUCUAUCCUUGGGGUUAUACCGAUGAUACAACCGUUUCACAACCCGAUAGAGAACGACAGCCUAGGGAUGAGAGCCAAUGAAGCUAUCAAUGCUACUCAUGGGAAAAGCUACCUUGUUGGAGAAGCGGGAGCAUCUUUAUACCCGGCAUCAGGGGGCAGCGACGACUGGGCCUACGGUGAAUUGAAGAUCAAAUACACCUAUACAAUCGAACUAAGGGAUGAAGGCCAAU
rnacentral:misc_RNA from 1 species